UACGUAGGGUGCGAGCGUUGUCCGGAAUUACUGGGCGUAAAGAGCUCGUAGGUGGUUUGUCGCGUUGUCCGUGAAAAACUCACAGCUUAACUGUGGGCGUGCGGGCGAUACGGGCAGACUGGAGUACUGCAGGGGAGACUGGAAUUCAUGGUGUAGCAGUGAAAUGCGUAGAGAUCAUGAGGAAGACCAGUGGCGAAGGCGGGUCUCUGGACAGUUCCUGACACUGAGACACGAAGGCCAGGGGAGCAAACGGG
rnacentral:rRNA from 1 species